rnacentral:rRNA from 1 species
UACGUAGGGUGCAAGCGUUGUCCGGAAUUAUUGGGCGUAAAGAGCUCGUAGGUGGCCUGUCGCGUCGGCUGUGAAAACUCGGGGGCUCAACUCCGAGCUUGCAGUCGAUACGGGGCAGGCUAGAGUUCGGCAGGGGAGACUGGAAUUCCUGGUGUAGCGGUGAAAUGCGCAGAUAUCAGGAGGAACACCGGUGGCGAAGGCGGGUCUCUGGGCCGAUACUGACACUGAGGAGCGAAAGCGUGGGGAGCGAACAGG